AUGGGAACGCGAAGAACCUUACCUAGACUUGACAUCUCCUGAAUAGUGUAGAGAUACAUGAAGCCCUUCGGGGCAGGAAGACAGGUGGUGCAUGGUUGUCGUCAGCUCGUGUCGUGAGAUGUUGGGUUAAGUCCCGCAACGAGCGCAACCCCUACUGUUAGUUGCCACCAGGUUAUGCUGAGCACUCUAAUAGGACUGCCUACGCAAGUAGUGAGGAAGGUGGGGAUGACGUCAAGUCCGCAUGGCCCUUACGCCUAGGGCCACACACGUGCUACAAUGGAUGUUACAAUGGGUAGCUAAACCGCAAGGUGGAGCCAAUCCUUUAAAGGCAUCCUCAGUUCGGAUUGGAGUCUGAAACUCGACUCCAUGAAGUUGGAAUUGCUAGUAAUCGUGGAUCAGCACGCCACGGUGAAUACGUUCCCGGGUCUUGUACACACCG
rnacentral:rRNA from 1 species